UUAGUUCUUUAAAAAUGGGUUCAAAAAAGGAACGUCGUUUUUGGGGAGAACCGAACGGCAUGUCAGUUUCCAGCCCAAAAAUUGUUAAAAAACAAACAUCAGUUUCUUGUUCACUUUUUGGAUCUUUAUGAGAGGAUUGUAUCGUAGAUCCGUGCCAGGGUUUCAGGUGAAAGGGGAAUAGGAUCUUUAUCUGAAUACCUUCUAUUAACCAGUUUUUCGGAAAUUCUGUUUCAGAUAAAUUAACACCACUAUAAGUGCAUUUAACAUAAAUUCUGCUGUACCGUACAUCCGCCUUGGCCGUACAGCAGACUAACAUUGAACUUGGUAAAAGGAAAUGGUUGAAUAAUUGAAAAAUGAGAUUAUUCAGGAAUACACAUUGAAUGCUAAGAUUACGCAUUGAAUUUCUGGUAGUAGAUCCAUAAUCAAAAAAGUGUUUGGGAUUGUUCCAGAAGAAAUGAACUGCUGUACGGCCAAGGCGGAUGUACGGUACAGCAGAAAACAAACAUCAGUUUCUUGUUCACUUUUUGGAUCUUUAUGAGAGGAUUGUAUCGUAGAUCCGUGCCAGGGUUUCAGGUGAAAGGGGAAUAGGAUCUUUAUCUGAAUACCUUCUAUUAACCAGUUUUUCGGAAAUUCUGUUUCAGAUAAAUUAACACCACUAUAAGUGCAUUUAACAUAAAUUUCACGAUUCCAAUCCUUAAAAUCCUCGGACCACUCGGGAUCUUGGAAUAAUAGUAUGCGAACCACAUUUUUAGCUAUUAUCAAUAACGGUA
rnacentral:lncRNA from 1 species